CUUGACAUUGUGUGAGACAAGCUAAGUAGCUGCACGCCGCCAGUUUUUUGGUAAAUAAACCGAUACUCAAUAAAUCAAAAUGAAAGUUGCAAUGAUGGCUCUCCUCUUGGUUGGACUGAUGAUGGUGGCGCUGCCACAGGAAGCAGAUGCAUGCACUGCAAGUCAGUGUGCGACAUGUGCCAACUUUAUCUCUGGUUUUGACGAAUCCGACUGUGGUAGAGGUGGUGCAGCCUGUGCGACCUGCGCAGAAAACAUGGCGAACUUCUUUUAGUGUUGACAAGCAAGAUAAAAUGAGAGUAUAUGAUUACCUCGUUUUAGAAUUGUAAACAACAACGGUGUCAUGGCCAUGACAUAACACAGCACACUGUCUAUACGUAGAGACAUUUAUUAUAGUCAUCUACAUAUCCAUAAUACAUAUACAUAUAUAUUCAUUAAAUGUCAAUAAACAUUGAAGCAUCAAA
rnacentral:lncRNA from 1 species